rnacentral:rRNA from 1 species
AAUCCAUAGGUUAAUGAGGCGAACCGGGGGAACUGAAACAUCUAAGUACCCCGAGGAAAAGAAAUCAACCGAGAUUCCCCCAGUAGCGGCGAGCGAACGGGGAGGAGCCCAGAGCCUGAAUCAGCAUGUGUGUUAGUGGAAGCGUCUGGAAAGGCGCGCGAUACAGGGUGACAGCCCCGUACACAAAAGCGCAUGUGCUGUGAGCUCGAUGAGUAGGGCGGGACACGUGGUAUCCUGUCUGAAUAUGGGGGGACCAUCCUCCAAGGCUAAAUACUCCUGACUGACCGAUAGUGAACCAGUACCGUGAGGGAAAGGCGAAAAGAACCCCGGCGAGGGGAGUGAAAAAGAACCUGAAACCGUGUACGUACAAGCAGUGGGAGCACCCUUCGGGGUGUGACUGCGUACCUUUUGUAUAAUGGGUCAGCGACUUAUAUUCUGUAGCAAGGUUAACCGUAUAGGGGAGCCGGAGGGAAACCGAGUCUUAAUUGGGCGUUAAGUUGCAGGGUAUAGACCCGAAACCCGGUGAUCUAGCCAUGGGCAGGUUGAAGGUUGGGUAACACUAACUGGAGGACCGAACCGACUAAUGUUGAAAAAUUAGCGGAUGACCUGUGGCUGGGGGUGAAAGGCCAAUCAAACCGGGAGAUAGCUGGUUCUCCCCGAAAGCUAUUUAGGUAGCGCCUCGUGAAUUCAUCUCCGGGGGUAGAGCACUGUUUCGGCUAGGGGGCCAUCCCGGCUUACCAACCCGAUGCAAACUGCGAAUACCGGAGAAUGUUAUCACGGGAGACACACGGCGGGUGCUAACGUCCGUCGUGAAGAGGGAAACAACCCAGACCGCCAGCUAAGGUCCCAAAGUCAUGGUUAAGUGGGAAACGAUGUGGGAAGGCCCAGACAGCCAGGAUGUUGGCUUAGAAGCAGCCAUCAUUUAAAGAAAGCGUAAUAGCUCACUGGUCGAGUCGGCCUGCGCGGAAGAUGUAACGGGGCUAAACCAUGCACCGAAGCUGCGGCAGCGAACGUAUCACCCAAGACAACUUUACGGAGUUGACGAUUGACGGAGCGAAGCGACGUCAAAGCGUUCAUUAAAGUCGAGUUGGCUUAGGGAUACGUUCGUUGGGUAGGGGAGCGUUCUGUAAGCCUGUGAAGGUGUGUCGUGAGGCAUGCUGGAGGUAUCAGAAGUGCGAAUGCUGACAUAAGUAACGAUAAAGCGGGUGAAAAGCCCGCUCGCCGGAAGACCAAGGGUUCCUGUCCAACGUUAAUCGGGGCAGGGUGAGUCGACCCCUAAGGCGAGGCCGAAAGGCGUAGUCGAUGGGAAACGGGUUAAUAUUCCCGUACUUGGUGUUACUGCGAAGGGGGGACGGAGAAGGCUAUGUUGGCCGGGCGACGGUUGUCCCGGUUUAAGCGUGUAGGUGUGUGUUCCAGGUAAAUCCGGUUCACUUUAACACUGAGGCGUGACGACGAGGCACUACGGUGCUGAAGCAACAAAUGCCCUGCUUCCAGGAAAAGCCUCUAAGCAUCAGGUAACAC